AACGAACGCUGGCGGCGCGCCUAAUACAUGCAAGUCGAGCGAGAAGACGUAGCAAUACGUUUGUAAAGCGGCGAACGGGUGAGGAAUACAUGGGUAACCUACCCUCGAGUGGGGAAUAACUAGCCGAAAGGUUAGCUAAUACCGCGUACGCUCCUUGGACUUCGGUUCAGGGAGGAAAGCGAUACCGUGGGUAUCGCGCUCUUGGAUGGGCUCAUGUCCUAUCAGCUUGUUGGUGAGGAACGGCUCACCAAGGCUUCGACGGGUAGCUGGUCUGAGAGGACGAUCAGCCACACUGGCACUGCGACACGGGCCAGACUCCUACGGGAGGCAGCAGUAAGGAAUAUUGCGCAAUGGGCGAAAGCCUGACGCAGCGACGCCGCGUGGGGGAUGAAGGUCUUCGGAUUGUAAACCCCUUUCGGGAGGGAAGAUGGAACGAGCAAUCGUUCGGACGGUACC
rnacentral:rRNA from 1 species